AAUAUUAUCAAUAUUAUCAUCAAUUAUUUGUUAUCAAUAUUAUCGACAAUAUCAUCAAUUAUUCGUUAUCAGUAUUACCAACCAUCCGUUAUCAAUAAUAUUACCAGUUAUUCGUUAUCCAUUCACCCUUCUUUAUCACCCUCUCUAAUGCGUGUUCUCCAUUCCAUCCUCUUUUGUGGAAGAGGAGAUGGAACGAGGAACGGUUGGGCGGAACCGAAUCAGCUGUUCGAUUUUGGGCGACUUUGCUCUGCGGUUGGAAGUGCAAUGACCUGCCCGCGUGACCUGUCUUGACCUGUGGCGGUUUGACCCUGACCUGACCUCGCCGACAACUCGAUAGCUAAAGGAAAUUUUCUGAUGAAUCUCAGUGUCAGGCGACUGCUGGAGCGAGAACCAAUCCUUCGCAUACUUUGUGCUCGAAUUUUCCUGAAAAACCCGAUGUCUUUGUGGGAAUUUGUGGUUUAUUCAUUUUCCUUAAAUGGCGGAGAGAAUGCGUGUAUGUAAAAGAGGAGAAAUAAAAUAUUUUUUCAGCGGAU